UUACGGCCAAUUCACGUUGAAACACCUGUUCUCCGUACGAUCAGCGAAGUUAAGAAACAUCGAACUCAGUCAGUACUUAGAUGGGUGACCGCUUGGAGAUACCAAGUGCUGUA